rnacentral:rRNA from 1 species
UACGAAGGGGGCUAGCGUUGUUCGGAAUUACUGGGCGUAAAGGGCGCGUAGGCGGUGUGUCAGGUCAGGCGUGAAAGCCCCGGGCUCAACCUGGGAACCGCGCUUGAGACUGGCACGCUCGAGUUCGGGAGAGGAUGGUGGAAUUCCCAGUGUAGAGGUGAAAUUCGUAGAUAUUGGGAAGAACACCGAUGGCGAAGGCAGCCAUCUGGACCGACACUGACGCUGAGGCGCGAAAGCGUGGGGAGCAAACAGG